rnacentral:rRNA from 1 species
AAUGAACGUUGGCGGCGUGGAUUAGGCAUGCAAGUCGGACGCCCCGCAAGGGCGUGGCGCAAGGGUGAGUAAGGCGACGGCAACCAACCCCGUGAUUGGGCGAUAGCCGCGGGAAACGUAGCGGGUAAUACCCAGCGACGUUCUUGGGGAGCAUUCCCGGGAACCAUAGGUGUGACUCCGGCACGGGACGGACCGUCGUGGUAUCAGGUUGUUGGCGGGGUAACGGCCCACCAAGCCGAUGACGCCUACC